GAUGAACGCUGGCGGCGUGCCUAAUACAUGCAAGUCGAACGCUGGAAAUCUAGCUUGCUAGAUUGAAGGAGUGGCGAACGGGUGAGUAAUACAUAAGCAACCUACCCACGAAGACUGGGAUAAUCUCUGGAAACGGGGACUAAUACCGGAUAGGUAAUCGGAAGGCAUCUUCUGAUUAUUAAAGGUUAAAAACACUGGUGGAUGGGCUUAUGGCGCAUUAGUUAGUUGGUGAGGUAACGGCCCACCAAGACGAUGAUGCGUAGCCGGCCUGAGAGGGUGAACGGCCACAUUGGGACUGAGACACGGCCCAGACUCCUAGGGGAGGCAGCAGUAGGGAAUUUUCGGCAAUGGGGGAAACCCUGACCGAGCAACGCCGCGUGAGUGAUGACGGCCUUCGGGUUGUAAAGCUCUGUUGUAAGGGAAGAACGGUAGAUAGAGAAUAUCUAAAUGACGGUACCUUACCAGAAAGCCACGGCUAACUACGUG
rnacentral:rRNA from 1 species